rnacentral:rRNA from 1 species
GGAGGAAGGUGGGGAUGACGUCAGGUCAUCAUGGCCCUUACGGCCAGGGCUACACACGUGCUACAAUGGUAGUGACAAUGGGUUAAUCCCAAAAAGCUAUCUCAGUUCGGAUUGGGGUCUGCAACUCGACCCCAUGAAGUCGGAGUCGCUAGUAAUCGCAGAUCAGCAACGCUGCGGUGAAUACGUUCCCGGGCCUUGUACACACCGCCCGUCACGUCACGAAAGUCGGCAACACCCGAAGCCG